rnacentral:rRNA from 1 species
UACGUAGGUGGCAAGCGUUGUCCGGAUUUACUGGGCGUAAAGCGCCCGCAGGCGGUCGUUCAAGUCGCGUGUGAAAGCCCCCGGCUCAACUGGGGAGGGUCACGCGAUACUGAUCGACUGGAAGGCAGGAGAGGGUAGUGGAAUUCCCGGUGUAGUGGUGAAAUGCGUAGAUAUCGGGAGGAACACCAGUGGCGAAGGCGACUACCUGGCCUGUUCUUGACGCUGAGGCGCGAAAGCUAGGGGAGCAAACGGG